UGGAUAUUUGCCCUAUUUUACUGAUAAGAAAGCAGUAUCAGAAAGGCUAAGUAGCAUGCCCGAGUUACAGCAUUAGUAAGUCUCUGGAAUCCAGUCUACUUACUCCAAAGCCUAUCUUUUUAACCUAUACCCUUUGCCCCUCCUAUAUAAUGUUUGUUGCUUUUCUGUUUUAUUUUAUGUUUUUGAAUAGAACUUCCUUCUGAAUUUCUCAGGGAAAGCUGGGGCCUGACUUAUGGAUUACACAGUGGACGUACUUUUCCAGGAUCUGAGGAGGGUGUGAGAAUCAGGUGGAUUGUGACAUUCCCCAUAAAAAAGCAGUGUAGAAUGAACUUUUAACCCCUUGGUGUCUGCACUAAGAAUUCAUCUGAGAUUCUUUCUUCCUUUUUCAAAUUUUUCACAUGCUUAGGAAGUCAUUGUGAGCAAAAACAGAGUCCAAGGCCCAGAGUGCCCCCUGCAGGGCCGGAAGGAGGAUUCAGGACAGCGGCGGGAUGCACAGCCAGCUGUGGGGCUGCGAGGCGGGGCCCUGGAGACCCUUCCCAUCAGUGAGGGUUUGCAGGCUAAUCCUGUAGGCAAAGGGCACUCAUGGAGCAUUGUUGAGCAGGGACGUGAUGAAAUCAAGAUGGUUUAGGUGGAUUAUUCUGCAGGCAUGUGCAUGGUGGGUGGGGUGGGGGAGAGACUGAAGGAUAGGAGGUAUUGCAGGAAUAGAGACAAUGUGAUAUGGGGCUGAAAUUAGACAAUAGAGUGAGAAUGGAAGCCAGGGACAGAUGGGAAAGGCAUUAAGAUGCUACAAAGGGAGUAACGAGACUUACUUGAUUGUGAAGAAUGACAAAAAGUGCCAUAAGAGGAGGAAAAUAAAGCAUCCUAGCAGAACUGGGGGAAUCAGAAAUGAGAACUUAUUUGGGGAGAAAAAGGAUUUAAUUUUUCAAACAGUUUUAGCAUCUUGGAUUUUGGGGGCAUAUUUUGAAAAGGACUAAAUAGGAAUUGUUUUUGCUGCAGAGCCCAUCCCAUCGCUUGCCUUUCAGAGACACCAUCAUGUAGGAAAUGCGAAUCUUUUACCCAUCUCUUCAGGACUCCGGAAGACAGAGAUGAGCCUUCUGUUCCCAGUGAUCACAGAGCCCCAGGAUGACGCUAGCCUCAAGAUAAUAAAUCAGAGAGUAAAAGAAUUUUGCAACAGGCAGCUCUGGAGAGGGGAGUCACUGAAGCAUAGGAAAGAAAUGGAAGCCCACCUUCAUUUCUUUUUCCUGCUAAAAAAUAGCUCGUUGGUCUGUCCGAGUUUUCUGCUCUGGGUGACUUCUGGGACAACACUGUUAAAUAAAACUCUUGAACUUA